rnacentral:rRNA from 1 species
UACGGAGGGUGCGAGCGUUAAUCGGAAUUACUGGGCGUAAAGGGUGCGUAGGUGGUUAUAUAAGAUAUGUGUGAAAUCCCUGGGCUCAACCUGGGAAAGUCAGAUAUGACUGUAUGACUAGAGUAUGGGAGAGGGUAGUGGAAUUUCCGGUGUAGCGGUGAAAUGCGUAGAGAUCGGAAGGAACACCAGUGGCGAAGGCGGCUACCUGGCCUAAUACUGACACUGAGGCACGAAAGCGUGGGGAGCAAACAGG